rnacentral:lncRNA from 1 species
CCCAGGUGGUCGCACAUCACUUGGAAAGCUCGAACAAACGCCCAGCUGUUGGGGUGAAGCUGGGCGGCGGCAAUGUUGAGCUCGGUAAGGAGUUCCCUCUCGAAUCGGGUGAAGGGAAACUUCAGUUUCACUUUCUUGAAUAGUGUUGUGUAGACGAAGCAGAAGGGCCCGUCAGCACUCACUUUGUCAUCAACACAGACGGGCAGAUCGGGGGAGCAAGGUAGCACUAUCAUUUUCUCAUCGUGCUCCUUGUGAAACGAUUGGUUGGGCUCAUCCCCCUUAGUCAGCCGCAAAACUGCUCCCGCAGUGUUCACAGAAGAUGUCUCCCUCAGAAGGGUCGAGUUGGCCCAGGGAUAC